rnacentral:rRNA from 1 species
UACGAAGGGGGCGAGCGUUGUUCGGAAUUACUGGGCGUAAAGGGCGCGUAGGCGGCGACCCAAGUCAGAUGUGAAAGUCCUGGGCUUAACCUGGGGACUGCAUUUGAUACUGGGUUGCUUGAAUUCGGGAGAGGAUAGCGGAAUUCCCAGUGUAGAGGUGAAAUUCGUAGAUAUUGGGAAGAACACCGGUGGCGAAGGCGGCUAUCUGGACCGACAUUGACGCUGAGGAACGAAAGCUAGGGGAGCAAACAGG